rnacentral:lncRNA from 1 species
UUGAACCCUAGAAUCCCUUUCAUUCCUUUCUCGCUUUCUUCCUCGCACACUACACCCUUAUUUCUUUCUCGCUUUCUUCCUGAACCCUAAACUCAUCGUCUCUUCCUCGCACUGACUAGCCUUCAGAAUCGUAGUCGCGGAACCAUUGGUANACGGAGCUGCAGCGGUGGUUGCGUGGUCUUCCUUUUGUUACUGUUUUGUCAGUCUCAGGUGAAAGCCCCUGUUCCAUGGUCUUCCUCUUGUUAUUGUUGGCUUGUUGUAGUGAUUGUUUUUGUUGUUCUAUAGUUGGUUGUGGACGUGACUCUGACUCCGGUUGAGGAUCUUGCGGUUUUGGUGCUUGUUGCUGGUCAUUUUGGAGAAUUUGUUGUCUCUGUUGCUAUAGAACUUGUGAGUUUUCAAUCUUUCUGCUGUUUAGUGUGUUUCAUCUUGGAUUCACCGAUUGAGCCUGUGUCUUGUGUGUAACUCUAUUUUCGAGGGAAAGAGAAAAAGAUAAGGGGAACAUGAAGUCAUUUUCUUAAAGAAAAAGAAGAUUCCUGUUUUAAAGCGAGAAAUUAUGCCUAGUAUAAGCCACCAUCGAAUUCAAGGUAGAGAAAUUAUUCCUGUUUUAGCCACC